rnacentral:lncRNA from 1 species
AGCUUCUCAUUCAAACAUGCCAUCUGUGCUCCACCAGGGACAUCCUUCUCUCAUGAAACUGGCAAUAGUGACAAAGUUCAUUUGAAUUCCCAGUACUCAUAAUCAUCAUGUAGUUUGAGGUACCCUUUUGGUAAAUAUGGCCUCUACUUGGAAAACUCCUAUUGUCUGCUAUAGUGCUUCAAGGUUUACAUUCGUUUUCUAUGCCAGGAAAAGAAUACCUUGUGAUAGUUCUCUUAAACCUCUGAUUAUGUUACAGUGUUUUUCUGUGGUCCCCCAAACAGGCUUCUUCCAUACCAUCAGGCUCUUUCACAUAAAUCCAUCAACAUGGAACUGAAGGCAAUUGGAUAGAAAUCUCAACGGGAGAUGUCAGGGCCAUUCCUUAAUCAGAUUUACAGGUUGCUACCGAACAGCAUGAGACAGUCGUUCUCUGCCCAGAGAUUAAGUACGAUCUGCUUAGAGGUGAUGUGCAGGGGAGCAUCACAGUCGCCUGUGAAAACAUGCUAAAUCAUCAGAGGUUUAUUUUCUCCUCUAAUCUCUGAAAACAACAAAACAAACAGUUCCGCAUUCUGAUGAAACUACUGAAGGACUUUACUGAUACCAGCUGGUCUGAAGGACUCCA